rnacentral:rRNA from 1 species
UAAGCGGAGGAAAAGAAACUAACAAGGAUUCCCCUAGUAACUGCGAGUGAAGCGGGAAAAGCUCAAAUUUAAANUCUGGUGGUCUUUGGCCAUCCGAGUUGUAAUUUAGAGAAGCGUCUUCCGCGCUGGACCGUGCACAAGUCUCCUGGAAUGGAGCGUCACAGAGGGUGAGAAUCCCGUCUUUGGCACGGACACACCAGGGCUUUUGUGAUGCGCUCUCGAAGAGUCGAGUUGUUUGGGAAUGCAGCUCAAAAUGGGUGGUGAACUCCAUCUAAAGCUAAAUAUUGGCGAGAGACCGAUAGCGAACAAGUACCGUGAGGGAAAGAUGAAAAGCACUUUGGAAAGAGAGUGAAACAGUACGUGAAAUUGUUGAAAGGGAAACGCUUGAAGUCAGUCGCGUCGACCGAGACUCAGCCUUGCCUUGGCUCGGUGUACUUCUCGGCCGACGGGUCAGCAUCAAUUUUGCCCCUUGGAUAAUGGCGAGGGAAAUGUGACACCUUUAUGGUGUGUUAUAGUCUCUUGUCGCAUGCAAGGGUUGGGAUUGAGGAACUCAGCACGCGCCUUUGGGUGUCGGGGUUUUGCCCACGAUACGUGCUUAGGAUGUUGGCGUAAUGGCUUUAAACGACC